UUAAGCGACUAAGCGUACACGGUGGAUGCCCUGGCAGUCAGAGGCGAUGAAGGACGUGCUAAUCUGCGAUAAGCGUCGGUAAGGUGAUAUGAACCGUUAUAACCGGCGAUUUCCGAAUGGGGAAACCCAGUGUGAUUCGUCACACUAUCAUUAACUGAAUCCAUAGGUUAAUGAGGCGAACCGGGGGAACUGAAACAUCUAAGUACCCCGAGGAAAAGAAAUCAACCGAGAUUCCCCAAGUAGCGGCGAGCGAACGGGGAGCAGCCCAGAGCCUGAAUCAGUGUGUGUGUUAGUGGAAGCGUCUGGAAAGGCGCGCGAUACAGGGUGACAGCCCCGUACACAAAAAUGCACAUGCUGUGAGCUCGAUGAGUAGGGCGGGACACGUGGUAUCCUGUCUGAAUAUGGGGGGACCAUCCUCCAAGGCUAAAUACUCCUGACUGACCGAUAGUGAACCAGUACCGUGAGGGAAAGGCGAAAAGAACCCCGGCGAGGGGAGUGAAAAAGAACCUGAAACCGUGUACGUACAAGCAGUGGGAGCACGCUUAGGCGUGUGACUGCGUACCUUUUGUAUAAUGGGUCAGCGACUUAUAUUCUGUAGCAAGGUUAACCGAAUAGGGGAGCCGAAGGGAAACCGAGUCUUAACUGGGCGUUAAGUUGCAGGGUAUAGACCCGAAACCCGGUGAUCUAGCCAUGGGCAGGUUGAAGGUUGGGUAACACUAACUGGAGGACCGAACCGACUAAUGUUGAAAAAUUAGCGGAUGACUUGUGGCUGGGGGUGAAAGGCCAAUCAAACCGGGAGAUAGCUGGUUCUCCCCGAAAGCUAUUUAGGUAGCGCCUCGUGAAUUCAUCUCCGGGGGUAGAGCACUGUUUCGGCAAGGGGGUCAUCCCGACUUACCAACCCGAUGCAAACUGCGAAUACCGGAGAAUGUUAUCACGGGAGACACACGGCGGGUGCUAACGUCCGUCGUGAAGAGGGAAACAACCCAGACCGCCAGCUAAGGUCCCAAAGUCAUGGUUAAGUGGGAAACGAUGUGGGAAGGCCCAGACAGCCAGGAUGUUGGCUUAGAAGCAGCCAUCAUUUAAAGAAAGCGUAAUAGCUCACUGGUCGAGUCGGCCUGCGCGGAAGAUGUAACGGGGCUAAACCAUGCACCGAAGCUGCGGCAGCGACGCUUAUGCGUUGUUGGGUAGGGGAGCGUUCUGUAAGCCUGCGAAGGUGUGCUGUGAGGCAUGCUGGAGGUAUCAGAAGUGCGAAUGCUGACAUAAGUAACGAUAAAGCGGGUGAAAAGCCCGCUCGCCGGAAGACCAAGGGUUCCUGUCCAACGUUAAUCGGGGCAGGGUGAGUCGACCCCUAAGGCGAGGCCGAAAGGCGUAGUCGAUGGGAAACAGGUUAAUAUUCCUGUACUUGGUGUUACUGCGAAGGGGGGACGGAGAAGGCUAUGUUGGCCGGGCGACGGUUGUCCCGGUUUAAGCGUGUAGGCUGGUUUUCCAGGCAAAUCCGGAAAAUCAAGGCUGAGGCGUGAUGACGAGGCACUACGGUGCUGAAGCAACAAAUGCCCUGCUUCCAGGAAAAGCCUCUAAGCAUCAGGUAACAUCAAAUCGUACCCCAAACCGACACAGGUGGUCAGGUAGAGAAUACCAAGGCGCUUGAGAGAACUCGGGUGAAGGAACUAGGCAAAAUGGUGCCGUAACUUCGGGAGAAGGCACGCUGAUAUGUAGGUGAAGUCCCUCGCGGAUGGAGCUGAAAUCAGUCGAAGAUACCAGCUGGCUGCAACUGUUUAUUAAAAACACAGCACUGUGCAAACACGAAAGUGGACGUAUACGGUGUGACGCCUGCCCGGUGCCGGAAGGUUAAUUGAUGGGGUCAGCGCAAGCGAAGCUCUUGAUCGAAGCCCCGGUAAACGGCGGCCGUAACUAUAACGGUCCUAAGGUAGCGAAAUUCCUUGUCGGGUAAGUUCCGACCUGCACGAAUGGCGUAAUGAUGGCCAGGCUGUCUCCACCCGAGACUCAGUGAAAUUGAACUCGCUGUGAAGAUGCAGUGUACCCGCGGCAAGACGGAAAGACCCCGUGAACCUUUACUAUAGCUUGACACUGAACAUUGAGCCUUGAUGUGUAGGAUAGGUGGGAGGCUUUGAAGUGUGGACGCCAGUCUGCAUGGAGCCGACCUUGAAAUACCACCCUUUAAUGUUUGAUGUUCUAACGUGGACCCGUGAUCCGGGUUGCGGACAGUGUCUGGUGGGUAGUUUGACUGGGGCGGUCUCCUCCUAAAGAGUAACGGAGGAGCACGAAGGUUGGCUAAUCCUGGUCGGACAUCAGGAGGUUAGUGCAAUGGCAUAAGCCAGCUUGACUGCGAGCGUGACGGCGCGAGCAGGUGCGAAAGCAGGUCAUAGUGAUCCGGUGGUUCUGAAUGGAAGGGCCAUCGCUCAACGGAUAAAAGGUACUCCGGGGAUAACAGGCUGAUACCGCCCAAGAGUUCAUAUCGACGGCGGUGUUUGGCACCUCGAUGUCGGCUCAUCACAUCCUGGGGCUGAAGUAGGUCCCAAGGGUAUGGCUGUUCGCCAUUUAAAGUGGUACGCGAGCUGGGUUUAGAACGUCGUGAGACAGUUCGGUCCCUAUCUGCCGUGGGCGCUGGAGAACUGAGGGGGGCUGCUCCUAGUACGAGAGGACCGGAGUGGACGCAUCACUGGUGUUCGGGUUGUCAUGCCAAUGGCACUGCCCGGUAGCUAAAUGCGGAAGAGAUAAGUGCUGAAAGCAUCUAAGCACGAAACUUGCCCCGAGAUGAGUUCUCCCUGACUCCUUGAGAGUCCUGAAGGAACGUUGAAGACGACGACGUUGAUAGGCCGGGUGUGUAAGCGCAGCGAUGCGUUGAGCUAACCGGUACUAAUGAACCGUGAGGCUUAACCUU
rnacentral:rRNA from 1 species